rnacentral:rRNA from 1 species
UACGUAGGGUGCGAGCGUUGUCCGGAAUUAUUGGGCGUAAAGAGCUCGUAGGCGGCCUGUCGCGUCGGAUGUGAAAGCCCGGGGCUCAACCCCGGGUCUGCAUUCGAUACGGGCAGGCUAGAGUUCGGUAGGGGAGAUCGGAAUUCCUGGUGUAGCGGUGAAAUGCGCAGAUAUCAGGAGGAGCACCGGUGGCGAAGGCGGAUCUCUGGGCCGAUACUGACGCUGAGGAGCGAAAGCGUGGGGAGCGAACAGG